ACCUAUUAAUGCUGCCCUAAUACUGUGUUAAUAUAAUGGAAUCAAUAUGAUUGAAGAAACUCUUAUAAUAAACUUUCAGACAAACAAUUAGCUGUCAGCUACAAGGGCUUGCUUUGUAACACUGCAGAUGUAAGAUGGGCAAAUGGCAUAUCUCCUGUUCCCAGCACUGGGAAAAACAAGAUAGCCAUGGAUAGCCAUGGUUGAUGUAUCCUGACUUUUUAAUGAUAACCACCACAAAUGCAAAAAGCUAAGUAAGUAGGUGACGCCCAAGGCAAUGCAAUGUCACUUGUAUCUGAUUCAUAUGUGGAGAAUUAAGAAAAUGUAAGAGAUGGUCUCAUUUUUUUCUAGUCUUGGAAUAACUCGUGAUUGUGUGGAAGUUACUCCAGAUCUGUGCCCCUGUGAGAAGAGAGUCAGGAUCAUCACGGAUGAUAGGUCUCGGACAGCAAAACACUGCCAAACUUUGCUCUUCCCGGGUGGUCCUGGAGCGCAGCGAUGCUGUUCAGUAGAAACCGGAAGGCCCAACAGCUCUACUUGGGGUGGAAAAAUAACCCAAAGGAGAUGGAGCGGGUGCACGGAGGAGUCGGUCACCUGCAAACGCUGGGCCAAUACAAGUUACUCCGCGGUAGAGUUUUUACACCAGCGCUGGAUCCAAAUUUUGGCAUUCUCUCCGCGCUUCUUCAGUUUUAAUGUCCCGCUGCCUCUCUCUGCCUUGGGCACAGCCGACCCAGCCAGCAGAAACCACAGCACAUCUCUCGGACAAGGUCAUGCCAGUGCUUACGGACCGUAACAGAGGACCCAAAGCAAGUUCCCAACACGCCUGCGAUAUCCUGGCCCCGCACAAGCGGCCCUCCGAGGGCACCCAAAGCCCCGAGCAGCGCACGGCACCCGCAGGGACACCUCUUCGCACAAGUAGGGCAGCGCGAGGUGCCGGGAGCUGAGCCCCUUCGGGCAGGCAGCCCGGGGUGCCUAACGAAAUAAUUACCUUUGGUUUUUUUUUAAUUGGAAAGAUGACUGAAGAAUUUUACAACUGCUUCAUCCAAAUGAAUCUCCCAAGAAAUGCAGGCAGCUUCCUGCCCACUCCGUAUGUUUACUUAUGCGCUCUGGGUAUUUGACAGUUAGGAAGAAAUGUGGGUGGAAUGAAUUUUUUGGAGCAUACUGGCUUUUUAAUAAAACAAACUGUUUUUGAGAUAAUC